rnacentral:rRNA from 1 species
ACGAACGCUGGCGGCGUGCUUAACACAUGCCAGUCGCACGGAAAGGCCCUGCUUUUGUGGGGUGCUCGAGUGGCGAACGGGUGAGUAACACGUGAGUAACCUGCCCUUGACUUUGGGAUAACUUCAUGAAACUGGGGCUAAUACCGGAUAGGAGCUCCUGCUGCAUGGUGGGGGUUGGAAAGUUUCGGCGGUUGGGGAUGGACUCGCGGCUUAUCAGCUUGUUGGUGGGGUAGUGGCUUACCAAGGCUUUGACGGGUAGCCGGCCUGAGAGGGUGACCGGCCACAUUGGGACUGAGAUACGGCCCAGACUCCUACGGGAGGCAGCAGUGGGGAAUAUUGCACAAUGGGCGGAAGCCUGAUGCAGCAACGCCGCGUGCGGGAUGACGGCCUUCGGGUUGUAAACCGCUUUCGCCUGUGACGAAGCGUGAGUGACGGUAAUGGGUAAAGAAGCACCGGCUAACUACGUG